rnacentral:lncRNA from 1 species
CCAAGAUUCCUUUGAGAACAUAGUCCUUCUUCCUCCGCCUCUCUCUCUCCUUCUCACCUUCUUUCUGCCCCCUUUUGCGAACUACAACUCUUCUUCCGCACAAAGCAAGCCACCCAGGAAGGCUACUAUGAGUGAAAGUAAAUUGAAUGAUCCAGUUCCACCUUACCAGGGUUCCAUCUUGGGCCAUCAGAUGCCAGAAUCCAAACCUGUGCCACCACUGUGAAAUCUUUGGAAAACUGCUUUAAAAGAAUGCAACAACAAUAAAACAUUGGAAGUACAGUUCCGAAUCCUGCUGCAUUUGCAUAGAAAGCAUAGAAGACAUACCUGUCUAGAAGCAAAACAAGAACUUGACUGCCUCUCUUCAACAAGAACCGAACAGAUGAAGGAAACCUCUGACAUCUUCUAAAUGUAUGUUUUCUCUAGAGGUAAGAGGGCAGUUUUAUUUGGAUAUUUGAAUAUAUACACAGAAAGUGGAGAGGAAUGCAUAUUUUUUUCCUCAUAAUUUUUAUUGCAAAGACAUGAGGAAUGAGGAAGGGUACAAGGGUGGAUAUAAAACAGGCAUUUUUUAACAUUAUACAUAUUCAUCUUCUUCCAUUGUUACUUUCCUAAUAUAAAACAGAAGGAUAGAAAAGUGGAUGUACAGUGUUUUGAAACAAAAGAGAUAGAAAAGUUGAGAAAUGGAAAAUAGAAAGCCCUAACUAACACUUCCAAGUCAUACCCUGUCUCUGCUGUCUUCUUGAUAAAUCAAAAAAAUCUAUCCUUUUUGUCAUAAAUCUUCUUACCUCUGGUAGAUUAACUUUCCAAGAUCCCUUGAAUAUCAUUGGGGAUCCUGUUGUUCUUGUCACCAACUUCUCUAUUUUUCUUUUCUUGUUAUUAUUGCAUCCCUGUAUGUACUACUAAUUUUCCCCUAAGGCUGUAAAAACCCCAAUAUAUUCAUUUUCUUUUUUUUUAGUCAAUAAAAGGAUGCAGUUCUUCAAAAUUGGAAGGAUCUGGCAAUUGUAUAAGCCUUAUUAGUUUGUCAAUCUCUGCAAUAUCCAACAUUUUUGUAAUCCAUAAAUCUUGGGUGGGAAUUUCUUCAUACCCAAGUGAACAUAAACAAUUCUUGCUGCAGUUGCAAUUUAUAAAAGGAGUAUCAGAAUUUUUUGUUUGGUAGUGUUGAAUUUGUAAGUUCCAACAGAAAGUCUUCUGUCUCUGGUACUUUAAUUGUUAAGAUGGUUUCAAUGGUCUAAUGAAUUAGAAU